CACGGGGAGGUAGUGACGAAAAAUAACGAUACGGGACUCAUCCGAGGCCCCGUAAUCGGAAUGAGUACACUCUAAACCUUUUAACAAGGAUCAAUUGGAGGGCAAGUCUGGUGCCAGCCGCCGCGGUAAUUCCAGCUCCAAUAGCGUAUAUUAAAGUUGUUGCGGUUAAAAAGCUCGUAGUCGAAUUUGUGUCCCGCGCCGCUGGUUCAUCGCUCGCGGUGUUCAACUGGCGUGUUCGCGGGACGUCCUGCCGGUGGGCUCAUCGAAUUGAUUGCUUCGGCUGUCGUUCGUGGCCCAACUCGUGUUCGAUUCGUCGAAUGCGAAUCCCAUCGCGGUGCUCUUUAUUGAGUGUCGAGGUGGGCCGGCACGUUUACUUUGAACAAAUUAGAGUGCUUAAAGCAGGCCAAUUUUGCCUGAAUAUUGUGUGCAUGGAAUAAUGGAAUAGGACCUCGGUUCUAUUUUGUUGGUUUUUCGGAACCCCGAGGUAAUGAUUAAUAGGAACGGAUGGGGGCAUUCGUAUUGCGACGUUAGAGGUGAAAUUCUUGGAUCGUCGCAAGACGGACAGAAGCGAAAGCAUUUGCCAAAAACGUUUUCAUUGAUCAAGAACGAAAGUUAGAGGUUCGAAGGCGAUCAGAUACCGCCCUAGUUCUAACCAUAAACGAUGCCAGCUAGCGAUCCGCCGACGUUCCUCCGAUGACUCGGCGGGCAGCUUCCGGGAAACCAAAGCUUUUGGGUUCCGGGGGAAGUAUGGUUGCAAAGCUGAAACUUAAAGGAAUUGACGGAAGGGCACCACCAGGAGUGGAGCCUGCGGCUUAAUUUGACUCAACACGGGAAACCUCACCAGGCCC
rnacentral:rRNA from 1 species